CGCGCUUGCUUCCCGGCCGUGGUGCCCUCGCCGUCGUGCCCAAACUUGGGAUUCCCGCCCAAACUAACGGUCCUCCGCCCGCCGUCUCCUCCCGGCGCCGUUUCACAGAGGCGGAUCCCCGCAGGGCGGUCGGGGGCCGCGUGGAGUCGUUGCGGAUCCACCCUGCUGCGUAUGAAUGACUGCUAGGGCGUUUUCCAAAGAUCUCCCUGAUCUUUGCCACAGCCUUCUGAGGUCUGCACCAGCCAUCUGACUACACCACUUCUUCAAGUCAUGAUUUGUGUGAGAGCUCUCAAGGCUGACUCCUUUCUCACAGAAGAAGCUGCUUUCAUUGGCUAAAUAGAACAAAAGAGCAUCCAACUGGCUAAAGUACGCAUCAUGUUUUCUCAGCAUCUGCUCCUACUGCUUUCCUCUGGUUCAGGCGCUGUUCCCACAAGUAAUGUGCUUACCCUUUCCUGUCCGGGUCUGAAACUCUUUAAAUAAUAACAAUAAGGAAGGAGCAGAAGAGACACUGGGUGGUCUAGAUGAUGAAGAGAGAUUUGUUCAGAUAUGGACUGAAAAGAGAUGGAAAAUUAGCCCCUGAUCCAAAACCUAUUGGUACUAAUGGGAAUUUUUUCACUGAUUUCAUCAGGGUUCAGAUCAGGACUUUCACGAGAACAAGGGGGCAUUUUCCAGAUGGCAAAAUCUGGAGAAGCCAAGAGAGUUGUUCUUUUUCCUUUCCUGUCCAGGUCUGUCUGAAUAUGGAGUCCUGUUCCAUAUGCCAUUACCUUCCUCCACUUUUUGAUUUAAGAGCAGUGAUGAUCCUGUAUCUAUGUCAAUAUUUACAGGAGCGAUCCUGGCUGCUUUUCAAGUCUCAGUUAACAAAUCAUGUGAUAUACCAGGACAAGAGCUGUCCAGCAGAGAAGCCCUUUCUAAGAAAACGCUUCUGGCAGCAAUUAGAGCUGGGAGCAAGGAUACAGCAAAAAACAGCCAGAAGCAGGAACUGGAAAAUCUGGUGUCGUCAUUUUCAAUCUCUUAACAUCUGGCACACAGAUACACUGCAAGAUCCCUUGUUUAUAGUGCUCAUAUGUUUGUGGGACAGCGUAGCCACACUUGAAUUCAUGCAACUCUACAAAAACGACUCUUUGCCCACUCCCUGAUAUCUCUGUGAGGCUAAUGGAUAGGAAGAACAAGAGAUCUGUAGUGAAAAUCGAUGCUUUUGAGAGGCGGAUGACUGAGCAGAGUGUUUAGUGAGAGUUUAGUGAUAUAAAAAGCAUGAGAAAUGAAGUUUUUCUACUUUACAAUGUGAAUGUAAGCUGAUUUGCAUAUAAAUUGGACCUGUCAAGUGUACUAAUACCAAUCAAA